CCUAGAGCUCUCUAUAUAAUGGCAAAGCCAUAAGCCUAGAGACUCGGACAGCCUCAAAACAAAACCCCCGUACCGUAUUACUAAACUCUUUUAGUUUGUCUUAAUAAUCUUUGUCUGUAUAUGGCUUUCAACGAAAGUGAUGAUAAGGAAUUGUCGCCCCAGUCUUACUUGCAUUCAUUGCGAUGGUAUGCAACAUGGUGAUUGACUAUUUUCGUCUGAUUCUUUUCAUCGUGAGAAAGUGAUGAUAAGGAAUUGUCGCCCCAGUCUUAUUUGCAUCCAUUGCGAUGGUUGGCAACAUGGUGAUUGACUAUUCUCGUCUGAUUCCCUAAUUUUCAACAAAAAAAGAUUUUCAUAAUUCUUGUGUUUUGUUUUCUCCAAUGGUGUUAAUUGGAAGUGAAGAAAAGGCAUAAUUGUUUUGUGACACCCAGUCUGAUCUGCUUCUGCAGAGUAGUUCAGUUGUGUUUUUAUAUCGCAAAGAUCUGUUCUCUAUGUUUUUUAUGUUUGGAAGAAUGAGGAAUGAGGAUGAUUAUUAUAACCAUACGUCUGCAAAUCUGAAUUUACAUUGUUGAUUCAUAGACAUGCACUACCAUCUGACCUCUUCUCUAAGUUUUUUUUUUUUUUUUUUGUGCUUUCAAACCCUCUUUGCUGCGAUCAAUGAUGAAUAAAAUCGUCCAUAUUUAAUGAUAAUCCCAUGAUUAUUAAUCUCUAGAUCACCAUCUUUCGGCUGAGAUUGCAGUUUACCCUUUAUUAAUCUUUUUGAGUUUGUUUUGUGUUAUUAGUUAUUGCCAAUGGUAUCUGUCUGAUGUCUGAACUUUACAUAUGUAGUUGGACAUUUCGUUUUUUCAGAGGCAGAAAUUCAAUGAACAGCCCUUUGCGACACUGCUAGCUUUUUUUUUCAAUAAGUUAACUAUUACUGUUUUACCUCCUUUUAGUGUUAACCUAAUUGGUUGUUGUAUUUUCCGUAUCACUUGUGUCUUUUAUAUUGUUUUUUGUGCAGUGUAAUGAGAUUGUUCUUUGCUAAUUGUCUGACAUGGUCUCUUGGACUGCAAGUGGCUUUGCAUUUGGAUUCGUUUACAGUUUUUUUUUUGUUCAGAGAAGCGGUUGUAGUCACGUUUUAAACCUCGCUCUGUUUUACUGAGGUUUUGCUAUACAUUUUGACAUAUUACUUAAUACACUCCUGUCUUAAGAGUGUUUUGUGAUAGUCAUUGUCCAUAGAUCAAUUCACUAACAUCAUCACAGCCUUCUUUGCAUCUUACAGAGUGUGCCAAUUUGGUUCACUUAUCAACGCAUUUGAGAUCCAGCGAAACUGACCGGAAUGGUAAUGAAGUACAUUUGCAAAUCAACCUGUGUACUAUACAACUUAUAUGGUGAGAAGACAUGAUCCUGUGGACAUGAAAAGCUAUAUAACCAAAUACAACAAGAUUUUGGUACUAAAGACUUUUAUUGAGAACUUGUAUGAGAAGUCAAAAAUACUAAAUUCAUGCUUCUCUACA